rnacentral:lncRNA from 1 species
CUUAUUCAAGCCACUGAAUUAUUUGAAAUCCUUUCCGAUGUGUGUAUGUAAUGAGUCUGCCAGUCACAUGACCACAUGCCAGAUGGGCUGCUCAUUUGUCCCUUUGGUGGAUGACACACUUCCAGGUGGUCCUGCCAGUCUUUGACGUGGUAGAAUGGUAUCCGAUGUAUCCAGAUAAUGUUAGCUAUUCACUACGGAGAACAAAGGGCCACACAGAAAUGAAGGCACAUUCUUCUCCCAGACAGAGGAAGACUUAGCAUUUUCUUUUACUCACCUACAUUCAGCUUGUUUCCCAAGCAUCACUUUGACCACAGUGGUACUUUGACCUUGCUUUCCAACCUGCCAAGUAUUUUUCCUUCCAAAUUGAACUGACUUCUAAAAUUUCACUGCAUGCACAAAGUAUUCUGAUGAGAGCAAAGAAGAGCUAUGGAUUUUCCUGCUAUACAACAUUGACAAAAAAAGACCAAUUUCUUCCUCUGCUUUGCUAAGACAUAUAUUCAAUAAGUUUGUUUAGUACCUUUUAUGUGCCAGGAACAUGAGUGAAUCUGAAAUUUGUUUCACAAAUACUGAUAAAGGAGGCAGAAGGAUAGGCGAUACAUUUUAAUGUGACACAGUCAGCAAUGUUAUAGAGCUUUUGUGCUUUAGGUGCAUCAUGAAAUGACAAACAGAUCACCUAAGUGGGAGGGAGCUGAUGAGGCAGAAAGGAAGGAGAAGGAAAGUCAUCCAAAAGUGUGACUGGUCAAUACAAGGACACGGAAGCAUGGGAAAAUGAAAAUUUGAACCGGAUGGUGGCAG